rnacentral:lncRNA from 1 species
UCAAGAGACACCUCUCCCCAUUCAGUGAGGCAGCAGGGAAGGGGAGCUCUUAGAACCACAGAAAUUAGAGAGCAGAGGAACCCAAGAGGUCAGCACAUCCACCAGCGUGACACUCAGGCUGCCUUCUACAGGGACCUUGUCAGUGAUUUGCUCUCCUCUGUUUUGACUCCAGAAAAAAAGGUGCUGUCAACCUCAUGUAGAGGGUUAUUCCACAGUUCUAUCUGUUAGGUGCUCUUUCACUCAAUUAAUUUCUUUCUUUUUUUUCUUUCUUUCUUUAUUUCUUUCUCAUAACCCGAUGCUCAUAGGUAUGAUAUUUUAGUUUCAUUUCAUACAUUGACUUGGGAGCUUGCCCAGAUCAUUGCAAUCUGUGGAGAGAACCAAAUAACUUCUGUAUUCUCUAAAGAGGUCUUUCACUUCUUCGGAGAAAGAUAAAUCUCUCAGAGGACAGAAACUGAAAGAUUGUCUCCAUGGCUGAGUUUGGGGCCUGAGAUUAAAAAGGAACCAAUUGAUCCCUGGAGAGCAUCACUCUUGCUCUGUCAGUGACUGAGGUUCCAUAUCCACAGAUCCCUAAAAACUUGCUCAGGCUCUCUGGGCCCUGGACAUAUCCAGGGAAGAAAACCAUUUGAGACGGGGGCGUUGAAAAAGGUCUCUAUUGGAUUUGGGGGAAGAAUCAAUUCAACACAAUUCUGCUGCAAAGUACAAAGUGCUUAAUCAAGAAGUUUGAAUUGUUUAUUUACUUUUUCUCUCUGGAGUAGAUGUGUGCUUUCAUAGCAGAAAAGAGACUUGGUAGUCAGAAAAUCCUUGGAUUGAAACUCACUCUAGUACAAGCUGGGGAGGUUUAUAAAGCUACAUAAGCACCAUUAGUCUCAAUUCCUUCCUUUAAAAAGGGUGGCAGGCAAUGGCGGCCUAUUUGUGGGUUGAUUUUGAGGAAGAGAAAAUACAAAGACAUUGGGAUCACACAGCAUGAAAUCAUCCAAAAGAAUAGGAUUUCAAUAUGUAAUUGAAACCAUUCAAUUCCGUGCUCACCUUCUGCUUCACGUCUUUCUUUUUCUCUUCAUCGGAGGGAACAGGACAGACAGAGCUGCUGCGGUUAAGAAGGCAAUACCCUUUGGACAACUGUGGAACCAUCUAACUCUCUGAACCUCAGAACCUGUGAACUCUCCAAACCUCGGCUCACCCCUUCUCCAGCAGCGAAUCCCUUCACCACUUACCAUGCUCACCUCCACACCUCUCAUUACCACCUCAAGUGUGAAGACUCAAGAUCACAGCUUUUCUGCGUUGAGUUCAAAUCCCUCCACAAGCUGGUCUUUGUCGACUUCUCUCACUCAGAGGUACUGGACUAUUUACUUUUUCAUUUAUUCAACAAGUAUCUAUAGGUUGCCUAGUAAGUGCAAAUCGCUGCAUUAGUGCUAAGUAUUUAAACUUGAACAUUUU